rnacentral:rRNA from 1 species
GACGAACGCUGGCGGCGUGCCUAAUACAUGCAAGUCGAGCGCAGGAAACUGACGGAACUCUUCGGAGGAAAGGCAGCGGAAUGAGCGGCGGACGGGUGAGUAACACGUAAGGAACCUGCCUCAAGGAUUGGGAUAACUCCGAGAAAUCGGAGCUAAUACCGAGUAGUUCAACGGACCGCAUGGUCCGCUGAUGAAAGGCGCUCCGGCGUCACCUUGAGAUGGCCUUGCGGUGCAUUAGCUAGUUGGUGGGGUAACGGCCCACCAAGGCGACGGUGCAUAGCCGACCUGAGAGGGUGAUCGGCCACACUGGGACUGAGACACGGCCCAGACUCCUACGGGAGGCAGCAGUAGAGAAUCUUCCACAAUGGACGAAAGUCUGAUGGAGCAACGCCGCGUGAGUGAUGAAGGUUUUCGGAUCGUAAAACUCUGUUGUAAGGGAAGAACACGUACGAGAGGGAAUGCUCGUACCUUGACGGUACCUUACGAGAAAGCCACGGCUAACUACGUGCCAGCCGCCGCAGUAA